rnacentral:tRNA from 1 species
AAUAAAGUAGUAUAAGGGCAAUGCACAAAUCAUGGAUUGGGAUGUACGUUCGAAUCGUACCUUUAUC